rnacentral:rRNA from 1 species
AUUGAACGCUGGCGGCAUGCUUUACACAUGCAAGUCGAACGGCAGCGCGGGGCAACCUGGCGGCGAGUGGCGAACGGGUGAGUAAUACAUCGGGACGUACCCAGAAGUGGGGGAUAACGUAGCGAAAGUUACGCUAAUACCGCAUACGUUCUACGGCAGAAAGUGGGGGACCGCACGGCCUCAUGCUUUUGGAGCGGCCGAUGGCUGAUUAGCUAGUUGGUGAGGUAAAGGCUCACCAAGGCGACGAUCAGUAGCUGGUCUGAGAGGACGACCAGCCACACUGGGACUGAGACACGGCCCAGACUCCUACGGGAGGCAGCAGUGGGGAAUUUUGGACAAUGGGGGCAACCCUGAUCCAGCAAUGCCGCGUGAGUGAAGAAGGCCUUCGGGUUGUAAAGCUCUUUUGUCAGGGAAGAAAUCGCAGAGGCUAAUAGCCUGUGCGGAUGACGGUACCUGAAGAAUAAGCACCGGCUAACUACGUGCCAGCAGCCGCCGCAGUAA